rnacentral:rRNA from 1 species
AGUGAACGCUGGCGGUAGGCCUAACACAUGCAAGUCGAACGGCAGCACAGUAAGAGCUUGCUCUUACGGGUGGCGAGUGGCGGACGGGUGAGGAAUACAUCGGAAUCUACUUUUUCGUGGGGGAUAACGUAGGGAAACUUACGCUAAUACCGCAUACGACCUACGGGUGAAAGCAGGGGAUCUUCGGACCUUGCGCGAUUGAAUGAGCCGAUGUCGGAUUAGCUAGUUGGCGGGGUAAAGGCCCACCAAGGCGACGAUCCGUAGCUGGUCUGAGAGGAUGAUCGGCCACACUGGAACUGAGACACGGUCCAGACUCUACGGGAGGCAGCAGUGGGGAAUAUUGGACAAUGGGCGCAAGCCUGAUCCAGCCAUACCGCGUGGGUGAAGAAGGCCUUCGGGUUGUAAAGCCCUUUUGUUGGGAAAGAAAAGCAGCAGGUUAAUACCCCGCUGUUCUGACGGUACCCAAAGAAUAAGCACCGGCUAACUUCGUG